rnacentral:sRNA from 1 species
ACCAGGUGUGGUGGCAUGCAUCUACAAUCCCAGCUACUCAGGAGGCUGAGGCAGGAGGAUCACUUGAGCCUAGGAGUUCCAGGCUAGUCUGAGCAACAUAGUAACACCCCAUCUCAA